rnacentral:rRNA from 1 species
UAUCCGAAGUCAUUGGGCGUAAAGGGUACGUAGGCGGCUAGUCAAGUCUGAGGUUAAAGACCACAGCUUAACUGUGGGAAGGCCUUGGAAACUGACUGGCUAGAGUGGGGCAGGGGUUGCGGGAAUUCCCGGUGUAGCGGUGAAAUGCGUAGAUAUCGGGAAGAACACCUGAGGCGAAAGCGCGCAACUGGGCCCUAACUGACGCUGAGGUACGAAAGCUAGGGGAGCAAACAGGAUUAGAUACCCUGGUAGUCCUAGCCGUAAACGAUGGAUGCUAGGUGUUGGCGGCAAAAACCCGUCAGUGCCGAAGCUAACGCGUUAAGCAUCCCGCCUGGGGAGUACGGCCGCAAGGCUAAAACUCAAAGGAAUUGACGGGGACCCGCACAAGCAGCGGAGCGUGUGGUUUAAUUCGACGCAACCCGAAGAACCUUACCAGGCCUUGACAUGCUAGGGGCCUAGGUGAAACGGGGUGCCCCGCGAGGGAGCCAGCACAGGUGCUGCAUGGCCGUCGUCAGCUCGUGUCGUGAGAUGUUGGGUUCAGUCCCGCAACGAGCGCAACCCGCGUCGGUAGUUACUCGUGUCUACCGAGACUGCCGCCUGACGGCGGAGGAAGGCGCGGAUGACGUCAAGUCAGCAUGGCCCUUACGUCCAGGGCGACACACACGCUACAAUGGCCACGACAAUGCGUUGCCAAGCCGCAAGGCGGAGCUAAUCGCUUAAACGUAGUCUCAGUGCAGAUCGGGGGCUGCAACUCGCCCCCGUGAAGGCGGAGUUGCUAGUAACC